AGCGAAGAGUCCAGUCAUCGAAAAACCGUUUUUCUUCAGCUUGUUUGGAUGAUUUAACCGAUUCUUACUUGUGUAAAAGUGUGAUAACAUCUUUUUCUGUUAAAUAUACUCUGUUUAUUUGGAUAAUUCCACAGGAACCGUCAACAGCGGACUUGAAUUGAAGAUGUGCGAGAUCAUAGAAUGGAUUUGCUUGGACUCAUGCGUCAUCACAGUAUAAAGGAUUUUAAUCUAAAAAGAAAUCCUGCACAUUUGAAGCUGUAAGAAUGCAGUUCAUGCCAUAUGCUGUUAGAGUACAU